rnacentral:rRNA from 1 species
GGGUCAGUAGGUUGGUCGUGCCACCGGUACGUACUGUUCUCACUGAUUCCUCCUUCCUGAAGAACCGUAAUGCCAUUAAUUUGGUGUUGCGGGGAAACAGGACUGUUACUUUGAAAAUAUUAGAGUGUUUAAAGCAAGCUAACGCUUGAAUACAUUAGCAUGGAAUAAUGAAAUAGGACGAUCGAUCCUAUUUUGUUGGUUUCUAGGAUUGACGUA